UGGACGCUGACCGCCCUGGGCCAGCACCUAGGCGGACGCGGAGCUGUGCAGACCAGGGUUCGCGCGGGCCGGGUGGAGGCUCAAGCGGGGACCCCGGAGCGUGAGCCCCGGAGUCAGCGGCGCUGGGGCCAGAGGGGCCGGGAGGGAGUCGGCUGAGGUGGCGGCGGAGGCGAAGGGGCGGCGGGACCCGGGCCUGGCCCGUAUGUGUCCUUGGCGGCCUAGACCAGGCCGUCGCUGUAUGAUGAGCCCCAGGGAGGCGGAUCUGGGCCCCCAGAAGGACACCCGCCUGGAUUUGCCCCGUAGGCCCGGCCCGGGCCCCUCGGGAGCAGAACAGCCUUGGUGAGGUGGACAGGAGGGGACCUCGUGAGCAGACACGCGCGCCAGCGACAGCAGCCCCGCCCCGGCCUCUCGGGAGCCGGGGGGCAGAGGCUGCGGAGCCCCAGGAGGGUCUAUCAGCCACAGUCUCUGCAUGUUUCCAAGAGCAGCAGAAAAUGAACACAUUGCAG
rnacentral:lncRNA from 1 species